ANNNNNGGCGGUCUGCUUAACACAUGCAAGUCGAACGGGAUCCUUCGGGAUUUAGUGGCGGACGGGUGAGUAACGCGUGAGAAUCUGCCCUUAGGUUGGGGACAACAGUUGGAAACGACUGCUAAUACCCAAUGUGCCGAGAGGUGAAAGGUUAACUGCCUGGGGAUGAGCUCGCGUCUGAUUAGCUAGUUGGAGUGGUAACGGCACACCAAGGCGACGAUCAGUAGCUGGUCUGAGAGGAUGAUCAGCCACACUGGGACUGAGACACGGCCCAGACUCCUACGGGAGGCAGCAGUGGGGAAUUUUCCGCAAUGGGCGAAAGCCUGACGGAGCAAGACCGCGUGAGGGAGGAAGGCCUAUUGGUUGUAAACCUCUUUUGAUAGGGAAGAACACAAUGACGGUACCUAUCGAAUCAGCAUCGGCUAACUCCGUGCCAGCAGCCGCGGUAAUACGGAGGAUGCAAGCGUUAUCCGGAUUUAUUGGGCGUAAAGCGUCCGUAGGUGGCAAACCAAGUCAGUUGUUAAAGCGUAGAGCUUAACUCUAUAAGGGCAAUUGAAACUGGUUAGCUAGAGUGCGAUAGGGGCAAGGGGAAUUCCCAGUGUAGCGGUGAAAUGCGUAGAUAUUGGGAAGAACAUCGGUGGCGAAGGCGCCUUGCUGGGUCUGCACUGACACUGAGGGACGAAAGCUAGGGGAGCGAAAGGGAUUAGAUACCCCUGUAGUCCUAGC
rnacentral:rRNA from 1 species